GCUGAUGCCAAAGCAACCACCUGGUCCUUUUCUGAAGUUCCAGGUCCCACUGGGAAAGGGACGGAUUAGUAUGCAUAAAGUCGUGCAGAGGAAGUAAGGCCGAUGAGGCUAUGGAAGUCAAUCUCCAUCCAGUGUGAACCAAGGGGUGUGAUGGGGAGAGACCUCUAGUGGGUUCCCCAGCUCAAGACUCUCAAGAUCAUGAAAAUAAGAACGUGGUCAAAAAUGGCCCAUUCUGUGGCCUUCAUGGACAUAUAAGACCAGCCACCCAGGUUGAACCCGCACUGGAAGAGAAAGGCGACAUGCAAGCUUGUGAAUGUUUUGUCUGAGGCAGGGCGAGUAGCAAGAGUGAAGUGGAACCCACAGUGGAGGGAGCAGAGAAGGUUCCACACUGGAGGUGUGGUUACCGCGGGGACAGGCUCUGUUAAAAAGAGAAAGAUUUCAGAGUUGGCUUCAUCUCAAACGUCUGCGUCUGAUUCACAGACAUCUGUGUCUUCUUGAGAAAUUAUGUUUUCAGAAGCAGAGCUGUCCAACAGAGACAUCAGCCACUUCCUAAGGGGGGAGCUCUCUACAGUAGGCACUCAGGCGUGGUUACUUCUCAGGACUCGGGAGAAGGCAACUCAGCCCUAGGAGACCCUCCCUGAGAUUGGAUGAGGCUCCAUUUAUGACGGAGGUACACAUUGGUCCCCAAUGACAGCUAGUGAGGGCCUGUUAUUUUAUAGUGAGAUGGUUGGAGAUGCAAUGCAAGGCUGUGGGUGUGUUCCAGAGUUCGAUCCAACAGAAGACAUUGAUGUCGGCCUUUGCAACAAGCAUCUAGUGUGCAGAACCCACUCCAAAGCUCAGGGCACGUGAUCGGGCUACAGAGCAGAGCGCAUGUGGAAUGGCAGCGGAGAGCAAGACUCUUCAGACGGAAAGAUGCUGUUGUCCCCACGCUGCCUGGCAUUGUUAUUUAACCAACUG